rnacentral:rRNA from 1 species
GAUGAACGCUAGCGAUAGGCCUAACACAUGCAAGUCGAGGGGCAGCACGUCUUCGGAUGGUGGCGACCGGCGCACGGGUGAGUAACACGUAUGCAACCUACCUUCUACACGGGGAUAACCCGGAGAAAUCCGGACUAAUACCCGAUAAUACAGGGGUCCCGCAUGGGAAUAUUUGUUAAAGAUUUAUUGGUAGAAGAUGGGCAUGCGUUCCAUUAGCUAGUUGGUGAGGUAACGGCUCACCAAGGCUACGAUGGAUAGGGGAACUGAGAGGUUUAUCCACCACACUGGAACUGAGACACGGUCCAGACUCCUACGGGAGGCAGCAGUGAGGAAUAUUGGACAAUGGGGGCAACCCUGAUCCAGCAAUGCCGCGUGAGUGAAGAAGGCCUUCGGGUUGUAAAGCUCUUUUGUCAGGGAAGAAACGGUCUGGGUUAAUACCCUGGGCUAAUGACGGUACCUGAAGAAUAAGCACCGGCUAACUACGUGCCAGCAGCCGCCGUAACAC